rnacentral:rRNA from 1 species
UCAGGACGAACGCUGGCGGCGUGCUUAACACAUGCAAGUCGAACGGAGAUUUUUAUUUCGGUAAAAAUCUUAGUGGCAAACGGGUGAGUAACGCGUAGGCAACCUGCCUUUCCGAUGGGGACAACAGUUCGAAAGGACUGCUAAUACCGAAUGAUGUAUAUCUUCCGCAUGGAGGACAUACCAAAGACGGCCUCUAUUUAUAAGCUGUCACGGAAAGAUGGGCCUGCGUCUGAUUAGCCAGUUGGCGGGGUAAUGGCCCACCAAAGCAACGAUCAGUAGCCGGUCUGAGAGGAUGAACGGCCACAUUGGGACUGAGACACGGCCCAAACUCCUACGGGAGGCAGCAGUGGGGAAUCUUCCGCAAUGGACGAAAGUCUGACGGAGCAACGCCGCGUGAGUG